UCUUGAGUUCCAUGUGUUCUAGGCAUCUAGAGUAAUUCAAGCUCCUAACCUUUUAUCUGUGUGAUGACUGAGGUGAGGCCACGCCCUCUGUAGCCCUAAUCAAAGCUCCCAUUUAAAACCUCAAAAUUCAGGAUAAAUAAACUCCUGAUAGAAAUAUUGAACAUAAACUGGUGGCUUGGAUAUAGAAGUGAGCUAAGAAAUUCUGUUUACUUAGAUUUGAAAAUAUGCUGGGCCUUAGGAAUAAAUGUGGACCUUGAGAGGUAAUAUUCAGGAAGUCAGCGAGGUCAACUGUCAGUCCCACCCCUCAGACUGUGUUCUCAACCAAUGUUUUUAUUUCACACGUGAUAUAUUAUUCUCUAAAGUGACUCACUAGAAUUAGGCAUCAAAUUAGGGUACAGGUGUCAAGAGACAGACCCCGAGGCAGCUAGAACAUGAAAAGGAAGGAGAAACUCCCUUCCUGCCCUGAGAUCUUUAAAUGUUGAGGGGAGAGAUAGAUGCCUGUGGAGAGUUACCAAGGGUCCUGAAAGCUGAAGUAACCUGCUUACCCCACAAGGAGGCCAAUUUACUUCCUAAACCAUGGAUGGGCCCAUGUACUUCCCUCAUGCCAGAGAGGCCGUCAUGGCCCUGUGGUGUAAGUAGUGAAUUCCUUCCAUGGCAUCCAACUUUCCCCGUAGGCUCAGCUCCUCAGAGCAUCCAAGCAGCAAGCCUAUCUGUUUUAUUCAGGAAGUCCUAGCUUUUACAUCUUGAUGCCUGAGUCCAUGAACUCUGACAACAGCCAUUCUGACCUUCCAAUGUACAGGUUAGAAAGCUCUUUGAUUACCUAUCUAACUACACUACAUUUUUUUCCACCCCACUUCAAUUUAUUUACUUUUCUAUGACACUUAACUGUAUAUAUCCCAUCACUUUACAAUACCAGAAUUUCAUUAAAGGAAGGGAUUUCUUUUAGGGUUUUUCUAAAACAUUAUUUAUUAUCUUUAUGUGCGUUGGUAUUUGGCCUGUAUGUCUGUGUGAGGGAGUUGUAUCUACUGUUGUGAUGAACAGUUGUGAGCAGUCAUGUAGGUGCUGGGACUGGAACCCAAGUCCUCUGGAAAAGGAGCUAAUGUUUUUAACCAUUGAUCCAUCUCUACAGUUGGAAGGGACUAUUUUUUAAGAUUAUAUUUCUCUGUCCCGGUAUACUGCUUGGGGAAAAAAAAAACAAGCUGGAGAAGAAUGCCCCCAGGAAGAAUGAAUAAAGAAAUCUUGACGGUCUACCAUGGCAGCACAGCACUGGUCUAUCUCCUCCAAGUGUGGACUGCAUCCCAAGAUGAACUGGCAAAUCCAGCAUCAUCCUCUCCUAUGAACUGUGCUGAAGCUGCCUUUGGUCAUAGUUUAAACUCUCGGAAACUAUUAGCCUCCUUUCCCCCCAACUUGAAGUGUGGAAAUUACAGUAGCAGAGGCAUCCAGGGUGAAGGUCUGGAGGAGGACAGCACUGCUUCUUUUCUACUUUGGUGAUCCGAGUUAGCAUGACUAGAAAUUAUUUCCCUGGGGCUUCUGUUUUGCUUUUCUGUGGGUUUUAACUUUUAUUUUCUUCUUUUUAAAACCCUGUAUGAAAUGGAGUUGAAUAAACCAGAAUAUGCUAGACCAGAAAUUGUAUUUGUUUGCACUGAGGCUUGGCUCUGAGGUUCAGCUCCUUUGCUCAAAACUAGCAGCAACAUACAAGGCUUAAUCAGUUUCUAAGGGAGAGCAUUAUGGUCUGUGAGUGGUCUAUUCAGGGGAUGGGUAAUCUGGUCAGUUUUACAAAGAAAAUAAGCUUAAGGUAUGCCUAAAAUUAGCCUCAUGCAAAAUGCCCCAAAAUCAGAGAAAAAAAAAAAAAACAAAACGAAGUUUCCAAGAAAGUAGGUGGCUCAGACAAACAGCCAUGACAACUUUCCCAGACAACUCCCUCGAUUGUAUGUCUGUCCCUAUUUUACACUGUCAGGGCAGAGCACACUUGCACUUCCGCUAGGCCAGGUGAGGUCAGACUCAGGGUCUACUGGUUAACUAGGUCGCUGAGCUGUGAGGGCACUUGAGUUUGGCGUUUGUUUCUACUUUCCUGACUCCUGGUAAUUUAGAGAGGUGCCUGACAGACUCAUAUAUAGCCAUAACGAGAAGCACGUGCUUCUCAAAGUCUAUGCAGGGUCCUGGCUGGGACAACACGGAAGAAUACUUUCUUUUGUACAAUUUCUUUGCUGUAGACUUCAAGUUUCUCAAUGGUAAACUGAUUCAUCCCAACCCUUUAGCAUACUGUUAUUUAUUAGCACUAACGCAAGAAGAGACCAAUUUCCCACUCCCAGGUACAUUCUAGACACAAGUGGAAAAUCCCCGGACAAGGCUUGAAAGUGGGACUCACAUGUUCGUCAGACUCAGACAUUUCUAAUGAUAAAAUUUUAAGCACAACAAUGGAAGCUUUGUACCUUUUCAUACGCAGUUAUUUUUAAACAGAAAGCUGGACUCUUCGUGUACAUAUUAAGCUUUUCUAAAGUCGGGUAGAGCGAAUGUGAAAUGACAGUUUUGAAGGAAACAGGCUUCGAUAGCAUUAGUGAAAAAGAUGUCGCGAAGUCUGCUCAGAUCACGUCUUAGAUGUGGAACAUGGUGCCACGUUUGACAGCUCGCAGGAGAACACAGCACCGCUCAGGGACCCACCCAAUCAGCAGUGUGCUUUGUGACUUGGCUCCUCCUCCUCAACGAUGAUCUCCCACAUGGGCUUCACCUUCUGUCUGCCAUUCUCUACUCAUCGCUACAUCUCUAAAAAUCAGUGCACACACCCAGGGCACCUUGUCCUUUUCCUUCCCCAGAAAAUAAUCUGCUGUCUUUCUUUUUUAAAUGAAGCUCAAAGGCUGCCUACUGUGGAAAAGAAAUCUUUCCUGAGUCUCCCUCUGUUAUAGUAAAAAUAAGCCAUGUUCUCUGCCCAUAGGAUUGUUUAUGAGAUGUUUCCCCUAUGACAUCUAUGUGGCCAAGCAGUAAUCGGUCUUCUUUCUUCCCAUAAAACUUUAGUCUGAGGUUGUGUUGCCUAUGGAACAGAUUCUGAAACUACUUUGCACACAGGGAGCUAUUGGGCUUGUGAUUGGCAUCUAUGGGAGAUUAAAGAAGUGCCUGGGUGAAAUCUAAGAUGUAGCUGUGACCAAAGCCUAGAUUCCUCCAAGGAGGAUGUGACACCUGGGAGUGACCUGAGGAAUUGCUUUUUCACGAAGCUCUUGGGAGUCCUUAUAGCUGCAUGUAUCAGCAGACGCAAGACCAUUCUCAAGAAUGAAGAGUAACUCUGACUGAAGUACUUUCCUUCAUCUGAUAAUGAGUGCAGAGGGACCUAGGUACGAGAAUUCACCAGUUAAUAUUCCCAGCAGGUGGGGAAAUGAGAACUUCAGUCUCAAAGAGGCAUCUGGGCAACAUACUACAUCAUCUACACAGUCAUCAUUACCCUGCGCAGCCCAUGGUCCCGGGCGAAGACCUUGUCGCUUAAACUCAAUGCUAGAUCUGUAUUUUAUUCAUUUUACAACAGACACUACUUUGAGCAGUUACUCUAAUCAAAGUGUGAUCAAAAUGCAAACAUCUGAGAGAUGCAGGAAAGAAUCAGGGGCUUAGUAGUCGAAAGGCACAGACGGUAAACUUCGGAAAGGGUGGUGCUCCAGUUGUGAUUAGACACAAAAAUUUAACUGAAAACCAAACUAAAAUCACAAACAAACUUGUACUCAAGACUCCCUAGUGCAACUGUUGUUAAAUCUGAGAUACAAUCUGGUUGUAGUUUUUAUAUCCCUGGGUGUUAUAUAAAUAACUUUUCUAAUUCCCAGGCAGAAGAGCUGAAGGAGCAGCUGAAUCUAAAUGAGGCAGGCAGGCAGCACAAACACUAACCACCACCCCACAGAGAGAUGGAAAAGGGUGUUGCCUCCAACACGUCAGACAGGAAUACACCGGUCAGUGUGAGUGCCUGCGACCAAGACAGAUGUGCAUGGAGAGUUGGAAGACUAGAAGGGGAGCUGAGCUGAAACUCUAAUUUUAUAAAAUUAAAAUGGGAUCUUACAUUUUGGAGAAAUGAGCAUAUCACAAAACAGGAAGGUUCAUAAGACGGUGAGGUGACCUCUCAUGUUUUAGAAAACAUUCUGGACUUAGUUGAUUAAGAGAGAAUCAGGGAGAGUGAAACUAGUAGACCUGAAAUGUCUGUAUAAUGUCUUCUAUUUUCUACAUGUGCUUCCCUCUAGAUGCUGUGGUCGGAGAAAUGAUGCCAAGGAGGCCUUCUCAGAGAGCCCAAACUUACUCCUCGAUGAGGAGUGUCAAAGAAUAGACUGUGAGAUGUACGCCACACUGUUCACAUCUCCCCGCCCGGGUGCCACCCAGAAACCAAGGCUUGGAUCCUGAAUAUGUCUAGGAGCAGAUUCACGCCUCCUAGGUCCCUAUGCAAUGGGGAGCAACUCCAAUGUUCUGGUUGUACUUCUGUAUUUUUGUAGAAACACUUCAGACUGCAAACAGAAGGCAUGCAGGUUUCCUACCUGAAAGUUACAUGCAAAGAAAUGAACUCAGGAAACACAUCGUGAUCUCAAGACCAUCUGUCCCCCCAAACUCCUACACCACGAGACAGAAAACUCGUUGUUGGGUCACAGCAUUUACAAUGGCGUUUCUGCAUAACACUGAUGCUCCAUGAAUUUUAAUUACAAGAUAAGCCAACAAGUUAUGGAUAAUUUAUUUAAAAUAAAAUUAUUUUAUGUAACCGUGUAAAAGGCUGCCAGAGAGUAAGUUUAAAUGAAUUUCAGGUGUGCCAUACAUGAGGGGCUCCAGAGUCCCUGAGUUAUCAGCUGGGUCUGCAGAUGCUCGUUUCCUUCAGUGUUCUGCACAAAUGCCAUCAUUGUCUACAUGAACGGUGAGGUGAAAUGUGGGAAGCACAUUUCGGUGUGACUGUUCAAACAGACUGGUAGUUCCGAUCCACAGAAAGAGAUUGGGUCUAUGAUUCAGCAAUUUCUCCUCAAGUGCUAGUGUAAUUAUUCAGAUUCAAAUAAUUGUACUGUCUAACUCACAUGUGGACUGUUAAUCUAUUCUUGGUUCUGACAAUCAAGAAGGCUUUCCAGAGAAUGGCUCUGCUUUAGGGUCUCCGUAAGCAAAGACUUCACUCAGCCCUGGGAGCUCAACCCCGACAGCCCUGCCUCCCAGCUGAGGCGCACAUUUCCUACUACAAUCUGUCCUGCACUCCGGGCUACUCUCCUUCUGUAUCCCCAUCAAGAUGUACAUUUUAUAUUUGCAUCUGUGUUUCAAACAGACUAGAAAUAAGGACAGCGAAUUUAGUGCUAUCCCUAAACUACAACUCUCUAAUCAGAAUCAAAUUUCUUUUUUAUAGGUGAAAAUUAUGAUUUUUCCUCCAAACUUUGUUAGAUGAUAUCAAAAUCCUCAAAACUAUAUUUUAUGAUGUAAUGACUUACUUUUUUUGCAUACACACACAGACACAAACUCACAUACCUGCAGACAAGCAUAGAGACCCAGAGACACACUCAUAUUUGUGCACACAGAGGCACACAGACAGGCUGACAGACACACACACAACAGCUAGAAAACACCUAACUGAAGAUUGUGUAAAAAGUAUUUCAACUUUCUUUUUUUGAUAAAAUCCUUCUGAGUAUAACUCUUCAAAUUUCUUAGAAUUCUCUUUAAACAAAUACUUCAUACAUCUCCUCUAAUAAGCUGCCUCCCUACUUACUCUGCUGUCGCCGAGAGCCUAGGGAGUGAGGUGUUGCACAUCCUGGAAGUCUGAGACACUCUCCUUUCAUUCACAAGCUCCCAGCGCAAUGGGAAGAAAGCGCACCUACAAACAACUGCUUAAUGGCAAAGCACAGGGCUGCUCUCGUGAAGACACCAGCAACCUGAUGUGACUGAGAAAACGGAGAGGAGUUAUUGAGAACGGGGGAGGACAGGUUGCUUUCUGUGGUUUGUGAUGAUACCUCUCUUCUUGGUGGGGUCUGAUUUGUCAUUUAAAGGAAAACUGAUUGUCAUACUCUUUGGAGCUGAUGUUAUAACGUGAGUCUUCAUCAGUAUAUAAGCCCUCUUGAGAGAUGUCUUAGACAAGCCUGCCUUCAACCAAAACUCAUUCUCCAGAACACUGUGACAAAAAUCUGUGAAGUGGUGAGGGAGAAUUCAGUAUUUUCAGGCACGAACACAAAUAUGAACAACUAAACAUUUUAGAGAAAUGUAGAAUUAUUAAUCUAGGAUUAUGAAGUAGAAGACAAGAAUUUUGUUUCCAUUUGAACUCUAUAAAUUGACUUUAAAAUUAAGAAACAGGAGAGCUGGGAGAUUUCUCACUUGGUAAAGUACUUAUCAGGAAGUACAGUUCAUUUACUAGGACUCAAGUUAAAACAAACAAACAACAAACAACAAAAACAACAAACAAACCAGGUGUGCAUUGCUGGAAAGAUGGGUUGACCAUUAACAGCACUGGCUGCCGUUCCAGAAGAUCCAGGUUCAAUUCCAGAACACAUACGGCAGCUCAAACCUUUAUGUAAUCCCAGUUCGACUAGUUUAACGCCCUCUUUUGGGAAACUGCUCCCAGGUCACAAAUAUACAUAUCCCCAAACCAUACACACAUACACAAAGUGAAAAGUGGUACAUGGUCUAACCCUACUGCUGGUAAGGGGAGAGAUGUGGAUCCUUGGGGCUCACUAGCCAUCAAAUCUAGCUUACGGGGUAAAUUCCAGGUCAAUGGGAGACCAUAUCCAACCAAACAACCAACCAACUAACCAACCAACCAAACAAACAAACAAACAAACAAACAAACAAACAAAGAAACAAACUUUUCCUUCAAAAAGACAAUAGUAUAGCUACUCCUUAAAGCUCAGAGAAGUGAUUUGUCAUUUUAAAGCAUGUAACUAUGUAGAACAGGAGGGCUCCCCAAAUACGUGGAUGUGUCAGAAUCCUUGAGAAACAGAGGGAGGCAAAGCUACCUUCAUGCCAGGGGCAAAUUAAAAGAUCACAGAACUCCAGCAAGACUAUCGUGAGAGGGGAAGAAAGAAUAGAAUUCCUUUCCUUCCGAGCCAAGUCCAAUCAGAGAGCUGUCUUUACAACAUCUUCAAGGCAUAGUCUUGUUAGGACUUAUUCACCUGAGAACUGCAGCAGGCCUGUCAUACAGUCAAAGAGCUGCUGGUGGCUUUAGGAGGCUGGGUUUGAAAGUCUAAGCAUUAAGUGAUGUUUGGCGUCCUCACCUACGAAGACUGAAAGUGUCUUGUUCUGUUUUUAAUGGUUAGUUAAGAUCCUAUAAGUGCCUGGUAUGUAAUGCUAGCUUCAAUGUUGGUUUUUUUAAUAUAGCUUUUCUUCAUAAAAAAUAAUUUCCAGGACUUUAUCUACACCAAACCAAAUCUGGCACCCGGACAUGUGCACUAAGUGUGCGCGCACAGGACGUCAAAUAUCUCUACAGCAGUCAGGCAGGGGAGGCAGAGUGGAGACUUUCUAUGUAUGCAUCCUAAUGUGAUCAGAACUUAAAUCUAUGCCUUCCACACCCAAGGCACGCAAGCUUUUCUCUAGUUCAUACUUUCUGCUGAUCAGUAAGUUUCUUCUAGUUCCUUGUAUUGGCGAUCCCACAAAAUGCCCUGGCUCAUUGCUAGCAUUCUGCUGUCCCAUAACACUUCACAAAUAUAUAAUUUGGGGCUUCUUGUCCCUUUUCACAUUAUAUAGCAGGGUGUUGUUGCUGGGAGAUGGAUUUUUCUGAGUAUCACUGCCAUUCAAUGAAGAUGUCAUGUCCAGGACUCACAUGGGAUACUUUCUUGUGUGGUCCCAGCCCCAAUCCAAUCGCUAGAAGCUCCAAACUUCUGAUUGCAUAUGGUUCAAGAAUAAGGCAAGACGAACACAACUGUCUCCAUCAUGUGAAAAGCCACUGCACGUGGACGUCUCUGCUUGCACAUCUGUUUGCACCUUUGCCUCUGAUAGGAGAUGAUUACACUGUGAUGGAAAUGGACCUCAGAGAUGCCGAUUCCCAUGGCAUGCUGUCUAAGGCCAACCUCUCAUCAUUCUUGCCAGUGGCGGCCCGUAUCAUUACUUGUCACGAGGCAUUAAAGACCAAUACAUUAUCAGCCUCUGUAACAGCAUGUAGUCAUAAUGGGCCUGCAAAAAGUAUUUGUUGUAUGAAGAAGAAAAUGAAUGGCAUUAAAUAAAAUAACACCUGAGGCAUGUUUUGGUCUUAGGAUUGUUUUUAUCUCAGCCAGGAUGUAUCUCUCAAAAAAUUAUUGCUAUACACUCCCCUAAGAGCUUAAGUGAUCUGAAAUUGUUUCACACAUGCACAGUCCGUAGGACAACACUCUUUUACUUAACGCCACCUGAUUAUCAAGAGUAAUUGAUCCGUCUAGGGGAACAUUCUAUAAUGUGAGUUUAAGCAAAGAUCUUUCUAGCUAUGUGUAUACACAGUAAUGACCACCCGUGUGCACAUUUCAGAUCAGAAUUAAACCACUCUGAAUCAUCCAUUAGAAUCGUGAUCUGCAAGCAAAGACUAGAAGUGUUCUGAGUGCCAUGCUGCUCACGUGCCUGCUUUCUGAGACUCAGGCCUGCCACGGUACUUACUUUCUACCUGACUGGGUAGAUCCCAAUUGCUUCCUACAGUACAGACACAAGUGGUCUGAGCCAACAACCAGGGUCAUGGAAGGUUUCUCCUUGUACAUCUGCAUAUGACAGAAAAGCUUCUUUGAACCAAACUUGAUCUUCUUUCUAAAGAAUGGGAAAACUUUAAGUCUCUAACUCCUGGGAGUGGCAGUGAGAACAGCCAGAGGGCGGUGAGCUAGCUCUGAUCCUCUGGAGAUCAUCUGAGCACAUUUGGCAAUCACUUGGCUUCUGUUGAAAACGAGGCCUUCUAAUUACACUGCUGCCAAUGGAAGACAAAAGACAGCACUUGGGCUUAGAAAGGUCACGGUGACAUGCCAGUGUCAGGGCUGUGAUUGUGGUUUCCCUCUGAGUACAGGCUUGCAGAUGGGACAGCCACACACCCGGCUGGGGAGCCCAUUCAUGGGAAUGGAAUCUUAAGCAGGCUGCAAAGUGAUUUGCUGUUCUCCUAAACGGUAUCUUGCCUGGAAUAUUUUCUGACACUAGAAAUAAAAUAAUAACAUGUUUUGGUUCUUCUUUCUGUGCUCUGUACUGCAUCAAAAGUGGUUUAGAUGAACUAGGUAGGAAGGCUCAGUGAGUGCAGGGUUUUCCAAGUGCUUUAGAGACAAAGGAGGCAGGAAAUACAGAUGUUUGCUCCUUGUAGCACAGACUUGUGGACUAACUCCUUCGGUGUCUCUGGAAUGCAAAUUUUCUUUCACAGUUUAGCAGUCUUUUUUGGAUUUCAGCACAGUGAACUAACACUUUCCUGGAUUCCAAGACCUCCAGAGAACCAGAUGGAUGAGAGGAACUGGGAAAAAGAACCCACACUGUUUGAAAAAGGCAGGAAAGGAACUCGAGAGGAAACUGCUCAAGAGAUCAUUCUGGGUGUCUGUGCUUUGACACUGGGGACAGAUUUUCAAGGCCAGUUCUUCUAAGUGGACACUUUGGUCUCUCUGGAGCCCUGUGAGACCGUUCCUUUCCAGACAGGUAAUCCCAUUCUCUUGUCCUCAGCACAGAAAUCAGUGCAAACUUUAAAACAUUCUGUGUUCUUGCUCUUCAUUGGGACCUCUGCUUUGAGCAGCCUUUCCUUUCUAUAACCUUAGCUUUGGAGGUCCAGGGCUUAGGGCCAUUACCUCUGUUACUGCUUUCCCCGCCUAUUCUUCUGCCCUUCCACAUAGUAGUCGUGCAUUCUUUAAGGUAUCAACUUGCAUAGAGUGUUGCCUGUUUACAUGAAAUCUCCAAAGAGGGGCCAUGAAAAUGUACUCUGUCCUCCCUUGUGACACACCGUGUGACAAGCGCUGUUACGCACCAAGAGCUGGACUGCUGAGACGAACCUAGCUAAUGGAGUCCUGUGGGUCUGGAUGACUGUCUGCAGUACACGCAAAAUGGUUUUUCUCUUUAAGCUCUGAAUUGCCACAGGAUGGCUCUACACCAGAACUGUCACACUGGAGAGAUCACCUUUAGUAGAGGGACAUUGAUGAGAAGCCCUACUUGUUCCCCAGUAGCUGAUCAGUAGUCCAGGCCUCUGAGAAGCCUCAGCUCAGAACACUCAGAAGUGUCUAUGACCUAGAGCUUCCUGGCUGAGAGACUACCAGAUUCCUGACCAACACUAUAUAUGGGGGUGGUGCGGAUUGCUUUAUGACUGAAACUUUGUUUUUUAUCAAGUGCUUAUGGUAGCUGUCAUAAUAAAACAGCCAGCUUUCAUAUAUUUAAAUGCUCUUCCAAGUUUGACAUGGAAACUUUUUUUUUGUCGGUGGCACUAAAUAUGUCUCAUAAAACAGUAGAAAUUGUUUGGUAAGUACUUGAAUGAAUGAAUGACUGAGUGAAGUAAUGAAUACAUUGGGAGGUCUCAUGAUCAAUGGACUGUAAAUUCCAGAAGAGAGUUUUAUUGAGAAUGAUACAGUAUGCUGAGUGAAAAAACUGACAAGCCGGAGGGUGAGAGCGCACCUUAGCCUUCCUUCUCCAUAGAGUGGGAAUAGGGUUUGCGAGCCUUGGAAGUCAGUAUUUAUUCCGGGAAACAAUGUGGACAUCCAGGCACGGGACCAUGCAUGGUGAUUCAUUCUCUUCCAGAGCACCGACUGCUACCCUUAACACUUCUGAAUGUGAAGACAACAACUUCCCUUAAUAGGAAAAUGAAUAAAUAAAUUAGUGGGAAAAAAGAGAGAAGGCAACUUUCUCUUGAAUUAUUUUUUCAAUGAAAAAAAUCAAUAAAGCAAUAGAUUUCUUGAGCUGUAUAACUAAAAGAAUUUGUGGCACCUAAGGUUUCAUGGAGGAUCAUGGCAGAGUAUUACAGUAAGUGAGAUCUCGGCCAUUCUUUGUGCCAGUUGGUUUGGUGAAUACAUUCCCCUCACAGCACCCCUAGUUGGUCAGGGCUUAUCCAGCUUGAAACUAUCAUUUCUAGGGACAGUAGACUCUCUUGGAAGGCAUCCAUUCUACUGGCCCACUUAAUUGUUGGAGGAUUAUAUUUAAUCUUCCUUCUGUCCUCUAUAAGCAAGUCUGUUGCCUUUUCUGGGUAACACCCCUAAAGAGUCCUGAAAAUAUUGUCUUUUUUGAGCCUUCUUUUGGGAUAACUACCUGGAAUCUUUCCAUCCUUUCUUAUGGGCUAUUUCUGUCUCCUAUCCCCCCAACCACUAUUCUCAGCACAAGUUCUAGUUUGUCUUGGUUCCCUUCAAUACAUGGCACCCAGAAUAGAACACAGCACUGUAGGAUCUAUAGCUAGCGUGUGUCCUGCAUACCCCUGCCUAAGUAGUGCAGUCAAGAAUGGCAUUUACUUUUCUGUGGUUUGAUAUAUUGUUAUUAUGAUUACUAAUCUUGUGAUCAAAUUUCUUCUCAGGAGUUUUAUUUCUUAGGUUGUUUGUUUGUUUUUUGCAAACACACUGAAAUACAUUUCAUACAGAGUCAGCAUCCGUUUCCUCUCUUCUACCAAGUACCAUUAAUUUUCACCAGAAAAUACAUAAUUUUGCCACCACAGUCUGUCUCUACUGUGAUAUCCCAUCAUCCUCCUCCUUAGAUAACCGGAGUAAUGUCCACCACUCACCCAGCAUUUCCAUGGCCCUUUUCCAUACUGACACAAGAGGACAUCGGGCACAUUCACACAGCUCGACUCUGAAGAGUUCAUUUGAAAACCAAUGAUUUCUGAGCCUACUUGGUCCUUAACCCUGGGGUUAGGAGGUCAGGCAUCUACAGCUUUAAAACAGUUCUCUACUUGUUUGACAGGCUGAAAACUUUGCUCUGGGUUUCUGAAAAGCAUUUACUUGUUAAAGAGCUAAUCUACCCUGAAUUUCCUUCAGGGAAAGGGAGUGUCUUGGAUUGGGAGGAGAUUUAUGAAGAAGAGAGGAGGAAAGAAAAGCACAGAGAGGUCUGCAGUAGCAGGUGUCUGCUCUGGGAUGUGCUGGCUGUCUCUCUCUCUCUCUCUCUCUCUCUCUCUCUCUCUCUGAAUCAAUCAAUUUAACCCAUUAAAUUCUCAAAGUAACUCCAGGAUCAAAACAUUACCAUCCUAUACGAGACAGUAAAUCAUGGAUUCUUUUCUUAAAUCUACAUAUAUCCAAAGUCAUAAGUUGGUAGAUAGGGACUGAACACAAUUCUGCCUGACUCCUAUCUACAUAAUUGAUAAAAACAAAUACUUUGUAAGAGAAAGGAAACACAGCACAUAUGUGAACAUAUAUGAGUGUACAUAUUAUAAGUGUUCUUAACUGAAGAUCGCACCUCAGAGAUGCCAUAAUCCAUAGAGACCAAAAGGAUAUCAGGGACAUCAGAGCAAUGUCACGCCUUUGCGAGAGUGUAUAUGGAUAACUGCUUCUCUUUUCUCUUUAGCAACUGAAGGUAGUUAAUUACAUAGCUGCCUGGUAUAAUAUAAACAUGCUUCCCCCUUGCAUCAGCUAGACUUGGAUCAGAGUGGAGUGAAGCAUGGAUAAGAGGCAGGACACCAGCACAGCAGGAAUCUGGCACUUACCUGCGGUGCCCUGCAGCAUCUACUUCAUCACCGAGAGGGAAAUAAUACCCUUUAGGUCGUUUUCUGACUCUUCAGCUGAACCAGGUCUUCACAAACUUUGUGGUUUGAGUCCAGUCAGUACCCUCUUUUUGCCUUAAGUUUUUAAUGUGCAUAACAAAGCUUGGAUGCAAAGAACUUCAAAUGUAUUUGAAGUCUCAGGGGGAAUGACAAUGGCCAAAAGAAGGAACAUAACAGGAUCACAUGUCUUUCCUGCAGGGGUGCCACACGCCAGGUCUCCUAGGGAGAAGCAGCUUGGUACUGCUGGACACCUACCCACUCUCUCAUGUUCAACUGGACAGUCUGCUCCCUAAUGCAACCAAGGACUCCUUGGAGCAAGACUUAUACGUCGGCUUGUCACCUGCUCUUAUGUUCUUCUCACUGACAUCAGACCAGACAUUUCCAUACUUUGAGUCAAAGUGUCCUCUCCUCUGGAGAAUUUCUGGAACAAGUCCCUCUCUAACAGAAUGCAUUUCUCCUCUGCCAUUAAGAAUGCCUCACUGUCAGCCUGUUUCUCUCUGUGUUCUUGGUUUUGUUUUUGUCUUCAGUGUAUUUUGAACUUUGGGGGAUGGGGUCCAUGCCUUCAAUUAUCAUUUCCAUUCCAUAGCUAACAAAGUGUCUGUUAUGGGCAUUAGGUAUGUAGUAAGUGUUCUUUGACUCAUGAGUGAGGAAAUAAAUCGAAGAGGUGAUUUUCUUGAGAUAACAGUGUGAAUCCUCAUUUCAUUUAGGAGACACUAAACUCCAUGUACAAAUGCAGAUUUAAUAGGAAGCAGGGGUAUUCUGGACAUUUGGUCAAUGAUUAUAAACAUUUUUAUAUUGGUGAAGUGACAACAAUGAGCCCCUUGUGGUCAUGCAGCAAAUUUGUCCAAAUGAGCUCUCACUCCAUCACUGAUAUGCCCUCUUGUACUCGGUUUGUUCCAGUGUCACAGAACCAGCCUGGGAGAGGCAGACUUGAGAGUUCUCAAUCCUCAUGUUGGCACUCUGAGCCCCAGAGUACAAUAACUCUGCCAAUUACCUCUCUUUGUCAAGGGUGCAUAAUGUAUACAUACAGAACCUGGCUGUAAGGUGUCUUCAGAAAUGCCUUUCAUUCAGUCAGCUCUAAUCAUGCAGAAAAAAAUCACAGACACUCAAGAGAACACAAAGACAAGAUUAUUAUACAUUUCUAGGUAAAUAUGUCUCUUAAGAGUGAAAGUUUGUUUUCUUAGGUGGAUUCUUUUAUAGUUCAAUAAUACCCCUUCAAGUUCAUUGGAUUUUUAGACCCUCUCAAGCUUUUUAGAAUGCCCUACAACCUCCUUUCUAGUUCUACGGUUUCCAGGUCCUAGGAUGGUCCAAGUUCUGGCUACUAUCACAGUUCUACACACAGAGGUUGCUUCCUCAAUGCUCUUCUGUGGGUGCUCUCUCAAGAAGCAUUCUGAUGAUGCUAUAAUAUACUAUUUACUGGAAAAUGGAUUGGGUAAGACCUUUAAACCAUGACUUUCUGGAUCUUAUCACAACUUGGUGAGGUACAAUACUAUAGUAGAGUACCAGGUGUGUACAUCUGAGAAUGAAGUGCACAGUUACUUUAUAAGUGCCAACAUUAGUGUUAAAAUCUCUCUGCAUGCCAGUAAACAUUAAAGGACAUGGUUCUGAUAGUCUAAGAAGUAGCACAAGUUGCAAGUCCCCUGUAGCUACACUAUCCCCCUAGAAGCAUUUAUAUCUGACAUAUCAUGAAUUCACACAUAUUAUCUAAGAAACAGAAGGGCCUGAAAGGCUUCAUUGUCCCAACUUUUAAGUCUGAGUUCUUUGUACUCCACCAUGCUGAAAUAAGAAAACGUCCAAAGAGAUGGGCUGUAAGAAUGGUAGGUGUGUGUGAAGUCAUCUAAAAUAAUGUAUCAUUGACUUAUGAGAUGCUAUGGAAUCAUCCUUCACUCAUCUCCUUCCAGGGUUUGCCCAGGCAGUGACAGACACUUAAUGCAGAGCGUUCCUUCAGAACAAAGUUCUCUUAUAUCAGUGCAAUGUUUAUCUUUAAAAUAGACAAGUAGAUAGACAGCAUAGAAAGCAUGUUGUCACCAGGCAGGGGUGAUGCAUACCUUUCGUCCCAGCACUUAGCAGGCAGCAGCAGGAAGAUCUCUAUGAGUUUGAAGUCAGUCUGGUCUAGAGAGUGAGUUCUAUGACAGCCAAGGUUGUUAUAAAGAGAAUCACUGUCUUGAAAAAACAAGCAACAACAACAACAAUAAUCACCCAACAACAGAUAAACAAAAACUACACCAAACAAACAAAAAAGAAAGAAAGAGAGCAUGUCCUCUAUGCCAGGGAGCAACUGUGUGACAGAGGCCUUUUCUUCUAUGAGAAGAGACACCAUAUAAGCCAAGUCCUAAAGUAGAGUAGACAUCAACAAAUGAGUAUUCUCCAGCGGUAAUUAAAAUACAGGUAGACCAGAUGUCUAACCACUUGGUAUCUAGAUACAGAUUCUACACAUUCUAUAACAAACUAGGAGGAAAGAACAUGAACUGAAGCUCUAUCUACAGCAGCAGCUCAGUAAGGGAGAGAGACAGGAAGAACAGACUCUGAAGUAUGGCAAGAAAUCCAGUAAAGCAUCCUGCCCACCAAUGGCUUUCCAAACGGAUAGUAUCCUCAAGGUUUGAAAAGAAGAGCAUUUGGGAACUUUCACUUUUUAAGUCUUCUUUGCAGCACGUUCUUCAGAAAUACCCAAAUGGACUCUGAAUACAGAAAAUAAGUCUGGCAUAUGGGAGAGGAAAUGGGAUUAGAGACAUUGUGUUCAACAAGGUGCUACUUGGGCUACUUCACCAUAGAGAUGCAGAGGAUGGACUACAGAGGCAACUGUGAAAGAUGACUAUCUCAAUAUUUGUAGCCAAGGAGGAAUUUUAUUAGAGGAAAACUAUGCUGGAGGUGAAGAACCCGAAGGGCUGCCCAAUCCAACCAGAUAAGUUUGCAGACACAGCAAAAGAGCUAGCAACAGGUAGGCAGUUACACUGCCAAGUCAGAGCAGGGCUCUCGAUUCCUGGGCCAUGUUCUACCUACCUUUCCAUAACACCAGUGAAGAAAUACAACUGCAGGAGACAAUGAGCUGUGUUUAAUGACGGGGCCCCUUGGGUCCUUAUUACUGAGAGAAGGUAAAGAAAGAUACACUUAUGCCACAUAUUCAGUACUCGAGUUCCCAUGAUUUUCCCUUAAGCAAAUUCACGAUAUAACAAAAAUGGAAAAAAAAAGUGGAGAAGAAUAGAGAAACUAAUUAUAGCAGAGUGUGGAAUUUGGCAUAUUCAUGGAAUACUAGACAACAAAAAGAAACAGAUGGCUGAUACAGCUACAGGGAUGAAUGAGUCUCAAAAACUGCACUGUGAAUGAGAAAAGGCAGAUUCCAGGGAGAGGGGGAGGGAGAAGGAUCCAAAAGAGAUCGAGACUUACCGAAAGUAAAGAAAUACAGCACAAAAGUCAGAAAUCAGUUGCUUCCGAGGGUAAAAGGCACGGCUGGCUUUGCAAAGGACAUGAGGGAGUUUUCUGGAGCAAUAAAUGCAACAGUCUGUUCUCAUCAAACUGAGCAUUUCUGACCUAAGUAUUUUCUUGUGUGUAAAUCAUGCCUUAAUAAAAAUGAGCAUUGCACAAGGAAGCAGAAGCAACACUAAAGUUGAUACACAUUGAUAAGCACAACAUGAAUAUGCAAAAUAGAAGUAAGCAUAUUCAAAAUCAAUAAGCCCAGGGAGAAAGCCCACCAGAGCCCAUGUGACCCGGCCUAAGUAAAGGGCCAAUGCUGUAAAUGCAGGCACACGUAUCAGGAGACAUGAAUAAAGUACGGUUUUCUACAUCUCAAGGUGACCUCUUCUCACUACCCACACUGCUUCACGGUGUCAGAGAUGCUUGCAUUCAGCCGCUUUACCAUCCACCCACACAAACAGUCCCAGUUUCAAAGGCUGGUUUCUUGGAGAACUUUGCAAAGUUACAACCUAUUGAUAUAGGCUGGUCUGUGACGUUCCUACAGUAUAUCCUCAGCCCUGAUGCUCUUUGAACUCUGCUGCCAGAGACAUUCCGGCUACUCAGACAGCCACACAGAGGAAUCGAGUCAAGUCCCAGACAAGCAGUGGCUUCCCAACUGACAGGAUGAUGACAGCCUUCUGUCUGGAGUACAGAGGAGCCUGAGCUUGCUUAGGAGACCAGAGCACAGUGGAGGAGAGACUGCUUCAUAGGGCAGGAUGGGAUACUGGAACUGCCCCACAGACUUUCACAGCACAGACAAACCACCUCGCUGGUAUUUUCCUCACCAGUAAAAGUGACAGGAUUAUACAGUCUCUUUUGUGAGGCUGAGAGAAUUGGAUGAAAUGGGUCAAGCUCAGGUCCUACCUGCUGUAAGUGCACAAGAUCCACUCUUCUCAGGGCAGGCUACACACACACAGCCCAGUCCUGGCAAAUACUAUAUUUUUUUCAUGAUUUGGUCCUCUAAACAUGAAGUGACAAUCCACAGUCCCCAAGUUCCAUCCAGUGAGUCCCAAUUAUUACAAAAUCAUUUCUAAAUAUACAAGGAGUUCAUCAAAUAUUUGAACACAUUACUCUGUUUCUUCACCAACAUCUGUCUAAAGAAAGAAGGGAAACCUGGGGGAACAGGAGGAUAGAGGCCACUGAAAAAUGCCUCUGAUAAAUGUGGUGGCAUACAUUUGUAAGGUCAGCAACUCAGAAGGCUGAGCAGGGGAUCUAGAGUUCAGAGUUAGCCGUAACCGCCUCUUUCUGGUGAUAAAUCUGUCUUUGAAUAUUUUGAGACUGGAAUAACACCAUCUUAUAUGAAAAGCUGCAGUUUUUAACUUAUGAUUUAUAGAUGGUACAAGUGAGGUUCAGCAGAUGAAGUUACAAGGCGGGGGCUGUGCAGCCGAGGUUUUUGCUGCUCUGUCUGGCUCAGUCUUCCCUGGUCUGUGGUCUAUGUCCUCCCCCAAGUCAACUUGCUAUUUACUUGACUAAAUAACCCCUUAGCAGAUGUGCUACUCAGCCUCACAAUGAUUGCCACAUUUAUGCUUGCCUCAGAGUGAAGUGCAGAAUGUUUUGUCGGAGCCUUGGGGGCUCACAGCAAAGAACAAACAUCGGUUAUCCUUGUUGACACUAUAAGAGAGAUGUACGCUUGGAAAUGUAGCCUAAAGUGACAAUUGAUGCGUGUAGCAAGCUUUUUGGAUAUUUAGAUAAGAUCCUAUUAAAGCACCGAUAGAAACAUGUUCUUCUUUAUAUCCCAGGCUGCUGGCUGGCUAUGUUGCAGUUCAAAGGGGCUCAGCGCACUUGCCGUGCCUUUUGCUGCUUGUAGGUACAAUAAGGGCGUCUGUCCCAGAGAAUGUUAAGCUAAAGGAAAAGGUCCCUUGAUGAUUUUCAACAGUUUAAAGGACAAAGGUGUUUUUGCUAUCUAAAACAAUCACUCCAUAGUCUAACUUCAACUUCCUGUAUCUGAGAAGAGAUUAUAUUUCUAAUUUUCGAAUGGGGGAAGAGAAUCCCCAGUGUGGAUGGAACUGCUUCUGUGUCAGAUUGUUCAUUUUCAGGGACCAAUGCUGUUUCUAGAUUAUUUUGGAAGAGGAAGCAAGAAUAGGUCAGAACUUGCUAAACCAAGCUCUUCAGUACUAAUAAUUGUGUUAGAUGACUAAGAUCUCCAUAAGAUCAUAUAAAAGUAUUUCACAAAUUUUGCUUUAAAAAAAUUGGCCAUCAUUUGAAGCUACCUGACCAAACAAGACGUGGCACAGGCUAUUAGAGAUAUUUCUUUUAAUAAAAGCAGUCUGCAUAUGAGGAUUUGCAUAGAACAAUCUGUGUAUCUAAGCUGUUUCAUCCCUUCCCACACCAGACAGGGAGCUUCCAGUUCUUCCAAACUAGUCAUAAAAAGAUGUACGACUAGGAGCCCUUUUGUUACGUCCGGCUUCCCUUUCUUGAUUCUUGGGCAAUGAUCUCUUUGUUUUUCCUAACUCAGCUUUGCUUGGCUUCUUUUUCCCAAAGCAGUAAGUUUGCAAUAGGGAGUUGGCAUAGGAUUUAAAUUACAGAAUUUAGAUAGGAUCUCAAAAACUAAUGACCACGCAGGGCCAUGAAAUCUACAAACAGACCAAUCACGAACUCAAUGUUACUUGUGUGAAGAUAAUAAAAAGUAUUACUCUAUAAUUAGAGAUAAAUUAAUUUGGGUUCUGCUGAAUGUAUCAGAAAACAUUUGCAGAAUACCAAAAGGCAGUGAGUAGGCACCCAUUACAGCCUGUAUGAAAACCUAGGUAAUGCAUUUACCAGGACGAUGGAACUUAUGGAGUCAAACCAGAAGAUUCUCCUAUACACUCGUUCAUGCAUGUAGCCCCUGUUGUGUGCAGAGCCUAAUGAUGCACCCUGCAGGGGCAGAGUGCAGCUAGGGGUUGCCGAUGCAACCCCUGCUGGGAUGCUCACACUAAAACAAUGCAUGGGAAAGCCAUACGGGGUUGGAAGGGUGAGAAAAUUGAAAGCUCAUGGCACAUCAAAUGCUUGUUAUAUAAGGCCAGGACAAGUAUGACAGCUUUAAGACCACAUCAAUUAUUGCUGUAGAAAUAUGAAUACCCAGGAAUGUUUCAUCAUCGCCCUCCUCCAAGCCUAUAGACUAAAGAUAAUAAUCUUUCAUUUUAUGCCUGAAGAGCAACAUCAAAGACUAAAGCUCACGAGGUAAAGAAGCCAACACUCACACAAAGGGAAAUCCAAACAGCGGCUGCCAGUGAACACUUCUCCAUCUAUGCCUUUCUCAAGGAAAAUUAAACCAAACAUUUCCUGGAGUUUUGCAAAAUCUAACUUGACCAGACAGAAGCAAUUUUAUGGAAUUUUUAUGAAAUGAAAGGCAAUGUUGCCUAAAAGUACUUAUAGAUCUCAGUAGACAGAUGUUUAUAUCAGAAAAAGUUGUGGACUCUUUAUCAAAAGUAAAAAGAAUUCAGAGUAAUAAGGUAUGUGCAUGCGGCCAUUGAAAAGGCUUGCCUUCCUCGCUAUGAAGUCGAGGCAGAAGGCUGGUGCUUGACUACCCAGUUGCAUCUCACUGAUGGGUACCUUCCUGCAGCUGCACUGUCUUUCCUUUUCUCUACUGACAUCAUGGUGAGACUCGCCUUACUUUAACAGGGGGUCUUUUUUGUGUUACUUCUGGUACCAUGGGUAGGGUACAUCCUACCCUGGUUUCUCACUCGCUAUGACCAUUGUGAGCUAUCAUUGUUAACGAUGGAUUCACUCUGCCUCCUUGGGGGGAAGUCUCAGUGUAAAAAUAAUCAAGUAUAUCUGUUUUCAGAUGAGAGGAGGAAGCACAGAAAACUCUCAGAAGUGGGUGGGAAUUAGCCUUGCCAGGAACUCUUCCUAGGACACUUGGUUCAACAAGUCUCCUGGGGUUCAGUUGCCUCAUCUGCAAACUGGGAAGGAUAAGUGGAUCUGUCACACUCUAUGAACUGUAGUAGCCAUUCAUCUGUGACUUGGGAGCCGUUGGCGCAGAGUUCUACUGAUUACACAAAUCCUCUUACUGACAGCCAUGACAAGAACUAGGGCUGUAUUAUCUGACUUAUGGGAAAUGGAAGCGAAGCACAGUCGCUGGCUUUGGGAGUCAGCAGCUAGAGAAAUCUCAUUUUCCCUGAGACAACCAAAUAACCACGAGAAACCCUAGAUAAAACCUAGAAUUGAUGACAAUCAAAAUUAUUAUAUUAUCUGUUGCUCCCAUCUGUUGUCCCUAAGACUCGCAGCAUACUGACACAGAAUAGGCUCGGUGCAGAGCAUGGCAAGAACCUCGCUGAGCAUAGGAACUUUUAUAUGGGAUCAAAUACUUGGCGCUACAGGAAUUGCCAGAUGGAUGGCUAUGAAAAAAAUUAAUAUAAGUUUGUACAAGAUUUUGCCUUUACCAAAAAGACAUCGGUAUUGUUUUAUCCCAAAGGAGGCAAAAUAAAUCUUCAGUACAACAGAGAAACAUUUAGCACGGAUGUGAAAUAUUCCUUGAAAAACAUACUUACAAAGACAUACUUUUCUCUUUCAAAUACCGAGAAUCUAAACAUAUGCGCAAUCUAAGUUAAAAGGGUUGGGGGGGGGCAGUGUUGUGGGGACAACCUUGGACAGGUCUGUCAUACCCUACAUCUUCCUGUGCUCUUGGGAAUUCAUUUAAUUCUUAUGGGUUAUGAUUAUAGAAAAGACAAAAAAAUAUAGAAGAACUGUGAGCUCAUGGGGAUGUGCAGGGGGGCUGGAUUUGUAAGUGAAGAGAUUUUGCUCAAUGGAAUCCUUCCUCAGUUACCUGCCAAGGCUCUAGCAGCCCUUCAAGAGCAUAGAAACAUGUUUGAACGAGUUUUGCCUGCAGACAGAGGGACGUUAAUUGCUUUCCUCAGACUCUCUUGAACCUCCUUGCAUGCAGAA
rnacentral:sRNA from 1 species